rnacentral:tRNA from 1 species
GCCACGGUGGUCUAGCGGUUAGAACGCUGGCCUUGUAAUCCUGGGGUGCCGGGUUCGAUUCCCGGCGGUGCCC